rnacentral:rRNA from 1 species
UGGGGAAUAUUGCACAAUGGGCGCAAGCCUGAUGCAGCCAUGCCGCGUGUAUGAAGAAGGCCUUCGGGUUGUAAAGUACUUUCAGCGGGGAGGAAGGGAGUAAAGUUAAUACCUUUGCUCAUUGACGUUACCCGCAGAAGAAGCACCGGCUAACUCCGUGCCAGCAGCCGCGGUAAUACGGAGGGUGCAAGCGUUAAUCGGAAUUACUGGGCGUAAAGCGCACGCAGGCGGUUUGUUAAGUCAGAUGUGAAAUCCCCGGGCUCAACCUGGGAACUGCAUCUGCUACUGGCAAGCUUGAGUCUCGUAGAGGGGGGUAGAAUUCCAGGUGUAGCGGUGAAAUGCGUAGAGAUCUGGAGGAAUACCGGUGGCGAAGGCGGCCCCCUGGACGAAGAUUGACGCUCAGGUGCGAAAGCGUGGGGAGCAAACAGG